GGCAGUUUAGCUUAAUGGUAAAGCACUUGGCUGGAGUAAUAUAAAGAGAUAUGGGUCCGAGUCCCAUAGCCA
rnacentral:tRNA from 1 species